rnacentral:rRNA from 1 species
GGCCAGACUCCUACGGGAGGCAGCAGUGGGGGAUAUUGCACAAUGGGGGGAACCCUGAUGCAGCGACGCCGCGUGGGUGAAGGAGUGCUUCGGCAUGUAAAACCCUAUCGGCAGGGAAGAAGCAAGACGGUACCUGACUAAGAAGCCCCGGCUAACUACGUGCCAGCAGCCGCGGUAAUACGUAGGGGGCAAGCGUUAUCCGGAUUUACUGGGUGUAAAGGGGGCGCAGACGGCAGCGCAAGCCAGGAGUGAAAGCCCGGGGCCCAACCCCGGGACUGCUCUUGGAACUGCGCGGCUGGAGUGCAGGAGGGGCAGGCGGAAUUCCUAGUGUAGCGGUGAAAUGCGUAGAUAUUAGGAGGAACGCCGGCGGCGAAGGCGGCCUGCUGGACCGUAACUGACGUUGAGGCUCGAAAGCGUGGGGAGCAAACAGGAUUAGAUACCCUAGUAA